rnacentral:rRNA from 1 species
GUCUUUUUGAGUUAUUUUUAAAGUCUGACCUGCCCACUGAAUUUAUUUUAAAUGGCCGCAGUAUUCUAACUGUGCAAAGGUAGCAUAAUCAUUAGUCUUUUAAUUGAAGGCUGGUAUGAACGGUUGGACGAGGUAUAAGCUGUUUCAUGUAAAUUUAUAAUAGAAUUUUAUAUUUUAGUCAAAAAGCUAAAAUGUAAUUAAAAGACGAGAAGACCCUAUAAAUCUUUAUAAUUUAUAUAAUUUAAAUUUUUUGGAUUUGUUUUAUUUUUAUUGUAUAAAUUAUUUUGUUGGGGUGAUGUUAAAAUUUAAUGAACUUUUAAUUGAAUUUAAAUCAUUAAUUUAUGAAUUAUUGAUCCAUUAGUAGUGAUUAUAAGAUUAAGUUACUUUAGGGAUAACAGCGUAAUUUUUUUGGAGAGUUCAUAUCGAUAAAAAAGUUUGCGACCUCGAUGUUGGAUUAAGAUAUAAUUUUAGGUGUAGCCGCUUAAAUGUUAAGUCUGUUCGACUUUUAAAUUCUU